GGAUUGCGUCAUGGCAGAGCUUGUGAAAUUGGGUCAGAAGUACCAAAAACAAGAUAUAUGGGUCGUCCUCGAGGUGAUAAACUUUUGGUAAUCUGCACUGUAAUGUCAACUUUGUUCAUCUGGCUCGGAAUAGUCAGCUUGUAUUGGUCUAUCUUGGCUGCAUGUGUUGUGACUUGCAGUAGUGGAGCUAGGAUCU